GUCUGGCAGUAUCUGUCAGAAGAAGACAGAGUUAACGUUUCAAAUAUCUGAAAGGUAAGAGUGGACAUUUAAUCGCUGGAGAAUAAAGCUGGAGAUGAGGUAACGGGAACAGAGAAAUGGCACAGGAAUUGAAUUGCAUCAGUUUUCACAGUGGAAGACACCAAAACAAGCCAGAACCUCAAAAGAUUCAGUGGGCAGAGCAGAUAAAUCACAAUCUUCACAUCCAGAAACUAGAAUAAAAGAACCAACAUUAAGAAAAAAAAUACUGGAUCUCUUCUUCACAAAGCUACCAAUAUUAUUAGGAGCAACGACUGAAAUGGACACCGAGUCCUGACUUCAUGGGGGAUACCUUCCAUUGUGCUGUGUGGUACUACUACCACAGAAUCGCUCAAUAGCUCAAUAGCAAUACCACAAUCUAUAAAUUCAUGGCCUGGCAUAUCUUUUACUCUACCAUUACCAUCAAGACAGGCAACCAAACUAGUUCAAUAGCAAAUGUAAAGCAAACAUGGUGUAUGGAUAAUAUGCAGAUCUAAAAAUGAGAUGCAAACCUGCUGAAGGUAGAAAAUAGAACUUCCCAUCAAGAUAAACAGCAGAAUCAGUGCUAAACAACCUCAUGACUAAUGGAUCAGAUUAAAGUUCUAUAAUUCUGCUAUAUUCAGUCACAAAUAAUUGUGGACAACUGACAUGAAGAGGUUUCAUGACACUUGAACUCCAAGGGUUA